AUUGAACGCUGGCGGAAUGCUUUACACAUGCAAGUCGAACGGCAGCACGGACUUCGGUCUGGUGGCGAGUGGCGAACGGGUGAGUAAUGUAUCGGAACGUGCCCAGUCGUGGGGGAUAACGUAGUGAAAAUUACGCUAAUACCACAUACGAUCUAUGGAUGAAAGCGGGGGAUCGCAAGACCUCGCGCGAUUGGAGCGGCCGAUAUCAGAUUAGGUAGUUGGUGGGGUAAAGGCCCACCAAGCCAACGAUCUGUAGCUGGUCUGAGAGGACGACCAGCCACACUGGAACUGAGACACGGUCCAGACUCCUACGGGAGGCAGCAGUGGGGAAUUUUGGACAAUGGGCGAAAGCCUGAUCCAGCCACUCCGCGUGCAGGAUGAAGGCCCUCGGGUUGUAAACUGCUUUUGUACAGAACGAAAAGGUUUCUACUAAUACUAGGAGCUCAUGGCGGUACUGUAAGAAUAAGCACCGGCUAACUACGUGCCAGCCGCCGCAGUAA
rnacentral:rRNA from 1 species